AGGGCUGAAAAUUAGCGGUCGCCCAGUCGCCCACGGCGACUAAAUUUGUAACUGGACUACCAAAAAUUUCAAAGUAGUCGUCCAGUCGGCGACUUAAAAAAAAACGGCUGUAGAUUAUGACUAUAAAAGAACGACUGUAGAUUAAAUUUAUAUCCGCCAUUAGAAAAUUCAAUGAGCAAAUUGGCUCCAAAAUUAUUAAAUUGGCUCAAGAAAAUCACGGUAAAAUGUAUGACUUUUGGAAUCUCCAGUCUAAAUUUAGCAUUUGCUAUUUUAAGAAUGGAAAGUACACUUUUGGUUUUCCAUUUACAAUUUCCGCUUUACCGCUUUUAUCUCAAAACACAGCGACACAGUCUACUUUUUUGUGGGUCAUUGACUGGUUUAUAUUUGUAACUUCCCUUCCCAAUGAAAUAUCGAUAUGAACAGUAACACAGUCUAAUACACUGACCUCACCGUUUGUUUACAUCAGCUGAUAAAUAUGACACUAAUUGUCGCAUGCACUGGAUAAUUGGGUCUUAAUAUUUAAUAUGAAACAACAACUAGCAGCAUCUCAAGAUUACCCAAGAUUAUCGCUAAUCAAAUCAGAAUUUUGGGUAUGAAAAAGCGACAAAUUAUGUUCUGCAGUUGACAACUUGACCUGUUCACGAUACAGAUAGUCUUCAAGACAAAUCUUUGUCAUUAACCAAGCAAGCUGAAGCAGCACAUUGGAAUGUGUUUCUGCUGUCACUGUCAUGCCACUGAUUUAGAUUUUAUGGAAUCUUUGCUGCCCAACUUAACGUGGCAAAUGUUAUAGCUACUGAGCUGCAAGCUUUUAUGAUUAUUGACUGUAAAUUAUAUAAGUUUGUUGUGUUAAUGUGAUAAAAAUGUAGGUACCAAAAUAAAAUUGGAUAUAGUUUA